AGCAGCCGCGGUAAUUCCAGCUCCAAUAGCGUAUAUUAAAGUUGUUGCAGUUAAAAAGCUCGUAGUUGAUUUUCGGGAUUGGCGCAUCGGUCGUGCCUUACGGGGUAUGAACUGGUGCAGUCAAUUUCUCACCUUCUGGAGAACCGCGAUGUCCUUAAUUGGGUGCCGCGGGGAACCAGGACCUUUACUUUGAAAAAAUUAGAGUGUUUAAAGCAGGCAUUUUUGCUUGAAUACAUUAGCAUGGAAUAAUAAAAUAGGACGGCAUGGUUCUAUUUUGUUGGUUUCUAGGACCACCGUAAUGAUUAAUAGGGAUAGUUGGGGGCAUUAGUAUUCAAUUGUCAGAGGUGAAAUUCUUGGAUUUAUUGAAGACUAACUACUGCGAAAGCAUUUGCCAAGGAUGUUUUCAUUAAUCAAGAACGAAAGUUAGGGGAUCGAAGACGAUCAGAUACCGUCGUAGUCUUAACCAUAAACUAUGCCGACUAGGAAUCAGACGAUGUUUAAUUUUUAAUGACUCGUUUGG
rnacentral:rRNA from 1 species